rnacentral:rRNA from 1 species
AAUUGGAAUGAGUACACCUUAAAUCGUUUAACGAGUAACAAUUGGAGGGCAAGUCUGGUGCCAGCAGCCGCGGUAAUUCCAGCUCCAAUACCGUAUAUUAAAGUUGCUGCAGUUAAAAAGCUCGUAGUUGGAUCUGGGGCUUGAGGUCGCUGUCUAUCGUUUCGGCGAUGACGGUGAUGCUCAGCUCUGCUUGCCGGUGACUGUUGCGGUGUUCUUCACUGAGCGCUGUAGCAGCACGGCACGUUUACUUUGAAAAAAUUAGAGUGCUCAAAGCGUGCUUGUCGCUUGAAUAAUGUUGCAUGGAAUAAUGGAAUAGGACCUCGGUUCUAUUUUGUUGGUUUUCGGAGCUUGAGGUAAUGAUUAAGAGGGACGAACGGGGGCAUUCGUAUUGCGGUGUUAGAGGUGAAAUUCUUGGAUCGCCGCAAGACGGACUACUGCGAAAGCAUUUGCCAAGAACGCAUUCAUUAAUUAAGAACGAAAGUCAGAGGUUCGAAGACGAUCAGACACCGUCCUAGUUCUGACCAUAAACGAUGCCGACCAGCGAUCCGUAGUGGUUGCUUUAUGGACCCUACGGGCAGCCUCCGGGAAACCAAAGUAUUUGGGUUCCGGGGGAAGUAUGGUUGCAAAGCUGAAACUUAAAGGAAUUGACGGAAGGGCACACCAGGAGUGGAGCCUGCGGCUUAAUUUGACCCAACACGGGAAAACUCACCCGGUCCGGACACCGUAAGGAUUGACAGACUGAUAGCUCUUUCUUGAUUCGGUGGAUGGUGGUGCAUGGCCGUUCUUAGUUGGUGGAGUGAUUUGUCUGGUUAAUUCCGAUAACGAACGAGACUCUAGCCUGCUAAGUAGUGUUGCUAUUGUUAUAUGGUUGACACUUCUUAGAGGGACAAGUGGCAUUUAGCCACGCGAAAUUGAGCAAUAACAGGUCUGUGAUGCCCUUAGAUGUCCGGGGCCGCACGCGCGCUACACUGGAGAAGUCAGCGUGUGUUAUCCAAGUCCGAAAGGACUGGGUAAUCCGUUGAACCUUCUUCGUGCUUGGGACUGUGGCUUGGAACUAUUCCACAUGAACGAGGAAUUCCUAGUAAUUGCAAGUCAUAAGCUUGCGUUGAUUACGUCCCUGCCCUUUGUACACACCGCCCGUCGCUACUACCGAUUGAAUGGUUUAGCAAGGUCCUCGGAUCGUGGCCGUAGGGGCACGCAAGUGUUUCUGCGGUUUGCGAGAAGACGACCAAACUUGAUCAUUUAGA